GAGCCAUAGCUCAACAGCAGAGCAUCUGCUUUGCAUGCAGAAGGUCCUAGGUUCAAUCUCCAAUGGCAUCU
rnacentral:tRNA from 1 species